rnacentral:tRNA from 1 species
GGUCCCUUAGCUCAGUCGGUUAGAGCGUGGUGCUAAUAACGCCAAGGUCGCGAGUUCGACCCUCGUAGGAACCA